rnacentral:rRNA from 1 species
UUCAUUAAUCAGGAACGAAAGUUAGGGGAUCGAGGACGAUCAGAUACCGUCGUAGUCUUAACCAUAAACUAUGCCGACUAGGGAUCGGACGGUGUUAUUUUUUGACCCGUUCGGCACCUUACGAGAAAUCAAAGUGCUUGGGCUCCAGGGGGAGUAUGGUCGCAAGGCUGAAACUUAAAGAAAUUGACGGAAGGGCACCACAGGGGUGGAGCCUGCGGCUUAAUUUGACUCAACACGGGGAAACUCACCAGGUCCAGACACAAUGAGGAUUGACAGAUUGAGAGCUCUUUCUUGAUUUUGUGGGUGGUGGUGCAUGGCCGUUCUUAGUUGGUGGAGUGAUUUGUCUGCUUAAUUGCGAUAACGAACGAGACCUUAGCCUGCUAAAUAGCCCGUAUUGCUUUGGCAGUACGCUGGCUUCUUAGAGGGACUAUCGGCUCAAGCCGAUGGAAGUUUGAGGCAAUAACAGGU